rnacentral:misc_RNA from 1 species
CCGAGCGCUGCCUCCGGGCAACCUCCAACCCCCUGUAUACGAUACCACUGUUGCUUCGGCGGGCCCGCCCCCCCGGGGGCCGCCGGCGGUAAGCUGGCCAGCGCCCGUCAGAGGACCCACAAAACCCGAGUCGUGUGUUGUCUGAGCGUGAUUGAGAAUAAGCUA